rnacentral:rRNA from 1 species
UACGUAGGGUGCAAGCGUUAAUCGGAAUUACUGGGCGUAAAGCGUGCGCAGGCGGUUAUGUAAGACAGUUGUAAAAUCCCCGGGCUCAACCUGGGAAUUGCAUCUGUGACUGCAUAGCUAGAGUACGGUAGAGGGGGAUGGAAUUCCGCGUGUAGCAGUGAAAUGCGUAGAUAUGCGGAGGAACACCGAUGGCGAAGGCAAUCCCCUGGACCUGUACUGACGCUCAUGCACGAAAGCGUGGGGAGCAAACAGG